rnacentral:rRNA from 1 species
UAAUACCAGCAGCUCAAGUGGUGAUCCUUAUUAUUGGGCCUAAAGCGUCCGUAGCCGGUCUGGUAAAUCCUUGGGUAAAUCGUACGGCUUAACCGUACGAACUCUGGGGAGACUGCCAGACUUGGGACUGGGAGAGGUCGGAGGUACUCCAGGGGUAGGGGUGAAAUCCUGUAAUCCUUGGGGGACCACCAGUGGCGAAGGCGUCCGACUAGAACGGAUCCGACGGUGAGGGACGAAGCCCUGGGGCACAAACCGGAUUAGAUACCCGGGUAGUCCAGGGUGUAAACGCUGCGAGCUUGGUGUUGGAGGUCCUACGAGGGCGUCCAGUGCCGGAGAGAAGUUGUUAAGCUCGCCGCCUGGGGAGUACGAUCGCAAGAUUG